rnacentral:rRNA from 1 species
UGCCAGCCGCCGCGGUAAUACGGAGGGGGCAAGCGUUGUUCGGAUUCACUGGGUAUAAAGCGCGUGUAGGCGGUUCGUUAAGUCUGAUGUGAAAGCCCGGGGCUCAACCCCGGAAGUGCAUUGGAAACUGGCGAACUUGAGUACGGGAGAGGAAAGUGGAAUUCCGAGUGUAGGGGUGAAAUCCGUAGAUAUUCGGAGGAACACCAGUGGCGAAGGCGGCUCACUGGCUCGAAACUGACGCUGAGGUGCGAAAGCGUGGGGAGCAAACAGGAUUAGAUA